AAAGCUUUAAGUUAAAAAAACUAUUAACCUUCAAAGUUAAAAAUAUAAUUCUAUUUAUAAGCUUUA
rnacentral:tRNA from 1 species